rnacentral:rRNA from 1 species
UACGUAGGGCGCAAGCGUUGUCCGGAAUUAUUGGGCGUAAAGCGCACGUAGGCGGCUCUGCAAGUCGGAUGUGAAAUCCCUCGGCUCAACCAAGGAAGUGCACCCGAAACUGCAGAGCUUGAAUAUGGAAGAGGGUCGCGGAAUUCCCGGUGUAGAGGUGAAAUUCGUAGAUAUCGGGAGGAACACCAGUGGCGAAGGCGGCGACCUGGGCCAAUAUUGACGCUGAGGUGCGAAAGCGUGGGGAGCAAACAGG